AGGCUAGCAACAUCUGGACCAUUGUAGACAAUAUCAUCUAAGCCAAUUGUGAUAGGAGAUGCUGUAUUGAUAGUGGCGAGCGUUUUAGAUAGGAAAGCUUGGU
rnacentral:antisense_RNA from 1 species